CCCUUAGAUGGUCUGGGCGGCACGCGCGCUACAAUGAUACAUUCAAAAAGUCUUCUGACCUUAGAAGGUUGGGUAUUCUCCAAAGUGCAUCGUGAUGGGAUUAGUUUAUUGCAAUUUUUAAUCUUGAACGAGGAAUUCCUAGUAAGUACAGGUCAUCAACUUGUGUUGAUUACGUCCCUGCCCUUUGUACACACCGCCCGUCGCUCCUACUGAUUGAGUGUCUCGGUGAAUUCUUUGAUCUUCUGUCGAUUCAGUUCACUGAUCCGACGGUGGAAAGUUGAAUGAACUUCGUCACUUAGAGGAAGGAGAAGUCGUAACA
rnacentral:rRNA from 1 species